rnacentral:rRNA from 1 species
UACGUAGGUGGCAAGCGUUGUCCGGAUUUACUGGGCGUAAAGAGCGCGCAGGCGGUUGAUUAAGUCGAAUGUGAAAGCCCCCGGCUCAACUGGGGAGGGUCACGCGAUACUGAUCGACUCGAAGGCAGGAGAGGGUAGUGGAAUUCCCGGUGUAGUGGUGAAAUGCGUAGAUAUUCGCAAGAACACCAGUGGCGAAGGCGGCUCACUGGCCCGGUACUGACGCUGAGGUGCGAAAGCGUGGGGAGCAAACAGG